GUGCCAGCAGCCGCGGUAAUACGGAGGGUGCGAGCGUUAAUCGGAAUUACUGGGCGUAAAGCGCAUGCAGGCGGCCUGUUAAGUCAGAUGUGAAAGCCCGGGGCUUAACCUCGGAAUUGCAUUUGAAACUGGCAGGCUAGAGUCUUGUAGAGGGGGGUAGAAUUUCAGGUGUAGCGGUGAAAUGCGUAGAGAUCUGAAGGAAUACCAGUGGCGAAGGCGGCCCCCUGGACAAAGACUGACGCUCAGAUGCGAAAGCGUGGGGAGCAAACAGG
rnacentral:rRNA from 1 species